AACGAACGCUGGCGGCGUGCCUAACACCUGCAAGUCGAACGAGCAUGGGGCUUCGGCUCCGAGUACAGUGGCGCACGGGUGAGUACCACAUGGAAAACCUGACUCUAAGAUUGGGAUAACACGUCGACAAAUGGCCUAAUACCGAAUAAGACCACACUUCCCGCGGGAACAGGGGUCAAAGAUAGCCCCUGCUUGCAAGCCAUCACCUCGGACCACGCCUGCGCACCAUUAGCUAGAUGGUAGGGUAAAGGCCUACCAAGGCAAAGAAGGUUAGCUGGUCUGAGAGGAUGAUCAGCCCCACUGGAACUGAGACACGGCCCCGACUCCCACGGGAGGCAGCAGGGGGGGAUAUGGCGCAAUGGGUGAAAGCUUGACGCAGAGACGCCGCGUGAGUGAUGUAGGCCGUCGGGUCGUCAAGAUCUGUCGGGAGGAACGAAUGCUCCUGAGGUUAACAGCCUCGCGAGGUGACGGUACCUUCAAAGGAAGCACCGGCUAACUCGGUG
rnacentral:rRNA from 1 species